CAUGGCCUGAAUCAGACCCAAACACUGAAUUCUCCUGUGCUUUUGCUUCUUUGUGUCUUUAGGUUGCCUAAAUGGAAGACUACAGGAAGGAAAUGUCUGCUCUUGCUACCUCUUCUAAACUUCUUAAGAGAAUGGACAGACAUUCAAGUGUGAGCUUGUCCAUCUGCAUUCACCAGGUAUUCCUUCUGAUAAUCAUCUUAUCACCCUGUUCACAGUCUUAUGUAUGGAGAUUUCUUUAUUUUCCUAUGAAAGUUAUACAUGCUCCAAAUCCUCGCCACCAUUUUUCUCCAGCAAUGAGGAGACAGAUGCUACUGUAA
rnacentral:lncRNA from 13 species